rnacentral:misc_RNA from 1 species
UCCCAUUCGACACGGGCAGUCCGUCUAGAGUGCCCCUUUCGGGUAGCAACUAGACGCAAGGGUUUCGCUCGUUACGGGACUUAACCCAACAUCUCACGACACGAGCUGACGACAGCCAUGCAACACCUGAUGUAGGCUCCCCUUGCGGGGUCGUUACCGUUUCUGGUUUCUACCACCCACACUUCAAGCCCGGGUAAGGUUCUUCGCGUUGCAUCGAAUUGAACCACAUGCUCCACCGCUUGUGCGAGCCCCCGUCAAUUCCUUUGAGUUUUAACCUUGCGGCCGUACUCCCCAGGCGGGACACUUAAUGCGUUAGCUACGGCACCGCAGGGGUCGAUACCCGCGACACCUAGUGCCCAUCGUUUACGGCGUGGACUAC